rnacentral:lncRNA from 1 species
GUAAGUGAACUGUCUCUCAUUUGUUUCCCAUUGAAAACAUUCUCUGGUUUCUAGAUUUGUAGUGCUUUUUGUUUGACAUAGGCACUGUAGGUAUAUAAAUAAUACAAUUCUUUCAGGUAUGUUUAAAUAAUUUCCUGACCAAAGAGUUAAUUUUAAACAUAAACUAAAAAUCUUAGGAAACAUGUAUUUAAUAACAAAUAGACCUUACCUAAGUUUUCCCAUGACUGAGCUCAUGCCUUUGAGUUAAGAGUUAACACUGUCCAAUAGCGUGUGACCCAAGGGCACUACACCCAGAGCUUGUACGCCAGUGCCCUGCUCAUCCUUGCACCAGGGCCAAGGGACAGUCGCCAAAGGUGGGAUUGUCUUCAGGAACUGAUGGCCAAGGCAGAUUCCUACCAGGAGCAGAUUAGCAGAGAUAACCUGGAGAAUCUUUCCACAUGGAACUGUCAGGAGGACUGUCUUGGACAUCAUGAGCAAAUAUCAAGAGAUCUGAAGUAUCAAGAGACUAUUUGGAUGUCAGAGUUUAAUGUGAAAUCUCAUGAAAAAUAUGGGCCAGGAGGUGUGUCAGAUCCAUAUCUGAGACUGAAUUUGACUUCAGGUCACUUGUUUUACAACUCUAGGUCACUGUCAUAUGCACUUCUGCUACUAUGAUGCCAUCCACCAUGAGGUCUUCAAAAGAAUCCAACGAAUACCAGCAUCAUUCCCUUGAAUCUCCAAACCUGUCAAUGUAGAUAGAAGAAAUAUUGAAAUGGCUCAAAUGUAUCACAUGAAACUUGUAUGGUACUGGAUAUCAUUAAAAAAAUAAAAUUGUCCAGGAAGCUGCAGGUGGGAGGAUCAUUUAGAGCAUUAAAAACAAGUACAAGGAUGCUGUAUAACCCAAUGGGAGACCAAUUUCUACUUCUGAUUCAACCAUGAAGUUCUGCUUCCCAUAUAAGAGCUGCUAGAUGAAGACCUCUCUCCCAGCAACCUCCAUAACCCAAAGGACACUGAGCACCAGCGAAUGCUUCCAUGGGGAGAAAAUAGAAGGCGUUUUUGCAGAUUUUAUUGAUGGAAGGCAAAGGCUCCUUGUGAAAUAAUUAAUUUGUGUUGCUGAUUUAAAACCUGAACUUUGAUCAUGGGCAGAAAAAUAGUGUUGCAAUUCAUCCACACUAAAUCCUAGUGUGCUCUCUGGUAGGAAAAAAUAGAGUAGGAGUAGAAAAGACCAUUGGACAUCCAAACUGCACCAAGCAGAUAAUCAUUUUUAGGUAUAUUGGGCUAAGGAUUCAACACCUUCUUACUAAGGGGUUAAAAGUUGACACCAGAAUGGUGCUGUAUGGAAAUUGAAGUGUUUUGUAUGUCAGUCAUACUUAAACUAACUAUAAUGAACUGCAAAUAAAAAUUCCCAAGUGAAUGUACUCUUUUGAGUUUUGUGAGAGGUAGCUCUUUGGAGUGGGCGUUCAACCUGCCCAUUACAGUCAAAGGAACACAGGGGGCAAUGCUACAUAGUGGCAGUGCUAAUAGAUUGGCUUCUCUUACUGUGCUCACUGUUACAAUAGCACUGUGAAGAAUAUGAAAGGUGAAUCUCUCCCAUCAAUGAAUGUGUCCAGGAGAAGUCAGGAUACAUUAUAUGUAAUACACAAAAUUAGUUUAUUUAUAUUUUAUUAUCAAGGUAAUUCAGGUACAUGGUAAAAACAAGACAAACAUUAAAAUAACAAAACAGCCCAUAAUUUUAAAAACAGUUCCCUGACCUGCUACUCCCUACUUCCAGUCUCACUGUUCAGACUCAACCUAUUUAACUGCUUUCUCAUUGACCACUAAGUCUCAGGCUUUGAAUUCUUUCUUUUAUCUCAUCACCAAGCAUUUACUGAACAUCUCACUCUGAAUAAUUAAAACUUUGUGCCCAGCAUGUAUAACACUUCCAUAUUCCCUUCCACAUCAGCUCCUUUUCCUCUUUUCUUUGUUUUCCUUGGUUCUGUCAUUGUUUAAAUUGACUGUAUUUAAAUCCUCAUUGUCUCUCUUAAUUUUAACCGCUGAUUUCCUUCAAAUCCAGUGAGUACUAGGUUCUAUCAAUUUUCUACCAAUUUCAUGUCCCUAGUGUUCACUCCAUGUUUACAUUCCUAGUAUUCCAACCAGGAUAGGGCCCAUUUGUGUCUUAUCUGUAUUGAGACAAUAGAUAUCUUCUGAUGUCUCCUCAUAUCUAUCAGUUUCACAGUUAUACAAGACUGCAAUAGGUGGGACCAUACUAUCCCUUGCUGUGAACCCUUCAGUUGUUUCAUGCUAUUAUGGAAUAAAGGCCUAAUGCUUUUGGCUGGCUUGGCCAUUCAAGG